GCCUUCUUAGUUGUGGUUUUUGCUUAUCUGCUCACCCUUGGGGUGGCAGCCAGGGGACAGCCAAGAUAUAGAUGGAGAGAACCACUGCACGACCAUCCCAGGGUAGCUCCAAGGAUUAAGUGAAGAGCGUUAAUCGUAUCCUUGGACGUCACAGGAGUUCAGUAUAUGUUAACUAAUAUCGUUGUCCUUGUUCUGUAUUAUCCAGCCGGGCCGGUUCUAAUCACCUCCUCCUGGCCUGCGUCUGGGGCGCCUGUCACUACAGCUCUCUGCUCCAAGCUGCCCACAACUUGAAUCAUUUCAUCUUCACUUAGAACACUCAAUGGCUUCCCCCAGGAUAUAAAAACUCCAGCUAAUUUUCAAA
ensembl:lncRNA